rnacentral:rRNA from 1 species
CCUACGGGCGGCAGCAGUGGGGAAUAUUGGACAAUGGGGGGAACCCUGAUCCGGCCAUGCCGCGUGUGUGAAGAAGGCCCUCGGGUUGUAAAGCACUUUCAGUGAGGAAGAACGCCUGGUGGUUAAUACCCAUCAGGAAAGACAUCACUCACAGAAGAAGCACCGGCUAACUCCGUGCCAGCAGCCGCGGUAAUACGGAGGGUGCGAGCGUUAAUCGGAAUUACUGGGCGUAAAGCGCGCGUAGGUGGCUUGAUAAGCCGGUUGUGAAAGCCCCGGGCUCAACCUGGGAACGGCAUCCGGAACUGUCAAGCUAGAGUGCAGGAGAGGAAGGUAGAAUUCCCGGUGUAGCGGUGAAAUGCGUAGAGAUCGGGAGGAAUACCAGUGGCGAAGGCGGCCUUCUGGACUGAAACUGACACUGAGGUGCGAAAGCGUGGGUAGCAAACAGGAUUAGAUACCCUAGUAGUC